rnacentral:rRNA from 1 species
AGCUCAAAGUUGGAAUCCGGUUGCCUUAGGUAAUUGGAAUUGUAAACUGGAGAGGUGUUUUCCAGGCGAGCCAAGCAAAUAAGUCCUUUGGAACAGGGCAUCAUAGAGGGUGAGAAUCCCGUCUUUGGCUUGAGCAUUGCCUUUUGCGAUACACUUUCAAAGAGUCAGGUUGUUUGGGAAUGCAGCCUAAAUUGGGUGGUAAAUCUCACCUAAAGCUAAAUAUUGGCGAGAGACCGAUAGCGAACAAGUACCGUGAGGGAAAGAUGAAAAGAACUUUGAAAAGAGAGUUAAACAGUAUGUGAAAUUGUUGAAAGGGAACCGUUUGGAGCCAGACCGGCUGCUCUAUAAUCAAUCUCUGCUUCGGUGGGGAUGCACUUGUAGGGCUUUAGCCUGCCAACAGCAAUUUUCUUUGGUGGAAAAAACUAGGAGGAAUGUGGCCCCUCGGGGUGUUAUAGCCUCUUAGAAAAUACACUGAAGGGGAUUGAGGACUGCAGC